GGAGAAGUACCCAAGUGGCCGAAGGGGCUCCCCUGCUAAGGGAGUAGGCGGGUUAAACCGCGCCCGGGUUCAAAUCCCGGCUUCUCCG
rnacentral:tRNA from 1 species